rnacentral:rRNA from 1 species
AGGUAACGGCCCACCAAGCCUAAGACGGGUAGCUGGCGUAAGAGCGUGGUCAGCCACAUCGGAACUGAGACACUGUCCGGACUCCUACGGGAGGCUGCAGUCGAGAAUCUUUCUCAAUGGACGAAAGUCUGAAGAUGCGACGCCGCGUGAGGGAUGAAGGCCUUCGGGUUGUAAACCUCUUUUGUUAGGGAGGAAUGUUGAAUGGCGAAUAGCUUUUCAAUUUACUGUACCUGAUGAAUAAGUCACGGCUAACUCCGUGCCAGCAGCCGCGGUAAUACGGAGGUGGCGAGCGUUACUCGGUUCGACUGGGUGUAAAGGGUUCGUAGGCGGUUGGUUAAGUGACGGGUGAAAUCCUUCGGCUUAACCGAAGAAUAGCCUUUCAAACUAUUCGACUAGAGGCUGGGAGAGGAAAGUGGAACUGCUAGUGUAAAGGUGAAAUUUGUGGAUAUUAGCAGGAACGCCUGUGGAGAAGUCGGCUUUCUGGUCCAGCCCUGACGCUGAGGAACGAAAGCUAGGGGAGCGAACAGGAUUAGAUACCCUGGUAGUCCUAGCCGUAAACUUUGGGCACUAGGUAUUUGUCCGUAAGGAUGGGUGCCGGAGGUAACCUGUUAAGUGCCCCACCUGGGGACUACGGCCGCAAGGCUAAAACUCAAAGGAAUUGACGGGGGCCCGCACAAGCGGUGGAACACGUGGUUUAAUUCGAUGCUACGCGAGGAACCUUACCAGGGCUUGACAUACUGGAAGUAGUGGCCUGAAAGGGCUUCCGACCUGUAACCAGUCAGGAACCAGAACAGGUGCUGCAUGGUUGUCGUCAGCUCGUGCCGUGAGGUGUUCCCUUAAGUGGGAGAACGAGCGCAACCCUCGCUAUUUGUUGCUACCGGUUUUGAUUUAUCAAAGUCGAGCACUCUAAUAGGACUGCCGCGUUAAGUGGGAGGAAGGCGGGGACGACGUCAAAUCCGCAUGGCCCUUAUGUCCUGGGCUACACACGUGUUACAAUGCCUGUUACAAUGGGAGGCUAAGUCGUGAGAUGGAGCAAAUCCUAUAAAAGCAGGCCCAGUUCGGAUUGAAGGCUGCAACUCGCUUUCAUGAAGCUGGAAUCGCUAGUAAUGGCGUAUCAGCUACGACGCCGUGAAUACGUUCCCGGGCCUUGUACACACCGCCCGUCAAGCGCUGAAAGUAGGGGGCGCCCGAAGCUCCGCUAUGCGGAACCACGGUGAACUUUGUGAUUGGCGCUAAGUCGUAACAAGGUA